GUUUAUCUGCCGAGUUUGCCUUUCGGCAAACGUCGCAUUAUUGUAUGCAGUUUGUAAACAAACUGCGUGAAAAAACUUUUUUCGCAAAUUGAUAUUUGUUGCAAAAAUUUUUUAUAGGA
rfam:Treponema denticola ATCC 35405, complete genome.